CUCCCAGUUUGUGACGGGCAUGUUCAAGUCUUCAGCAGAAAACUGUAAGCAGGCUCCAGAGCUCUUUUUCUUCAUCAGUGGAGUGUUGCGCAGUGAGCGUGCAUAGAGGCAGUUUAGCACCUUUCCUUUUUUCUUUUGUGGGAAAAAAACCCUCCUUACUGUUUCCAGAUCUUUGUGAAGCCCUCGCUCUUCGACAACUCUUCCUCUGACAGAAAUCCUACCCAGCUGAAGCUAGUCUAAAGGGACGUUUUCUUCUUUUCCCCUUCUGAAUUACAGCACACUGGAACAUUAAGGAGUUUAAAAAUCCAACUAUAAACACUGUCAUGAAAGAGUAAGACUUUUUUGUGAAGGUCUUCUUCUUUUCUUUUAACUAAUCACAACCAAGUUUUUUUUUGUUUUUUUUAAAUAACAAACACCAGAAAAAGAAAAACAAUGAAUCAGGGCGCCUGGAACGUGUUUGACACAAACACGUCGCCUGUUGUGACUUCUGGCGAACAGAGCUGAAUUAUCAGGGGGCUGAUUCUCCGUCGGCUCUCCACCAGUCAGAUCACACAUCUCCUCUCCCCUGAUACUGGACACAUGGAACGGGUCCGUCCCUCUCCUCUGUGGCUGUAGACUCACUCAUCUUCUCCUGGAUAUCUGAAGCUGACAUCUUGGUUUUAGAUUUAUUUAUUUCACACUCAGUUUUCUGUUUAUCUUUUGCCCUGUCCAACACGGAGCUCGCAGAGGAUUUCAAACCGGCAGCGGCUUCUGUGCGUUUCCUCUCCUGUUUGUUCGCCCCCGAGAGGCCCUGAUCUCCGGGCGAUGGCGGCCCUGACAAAGAGAGGCCAUGGCAACUUUCCCCAGAGGAGAGCCGCCCCGUUGCCACGGGGAGUCGGGUGCAGAGAGCCGCCGACACCAGAGACGGGUCCGCGUCUGGCGACAGCGGCGGAGGAACCGGUCCCAGCGAUGGAAAAUUUCACCGUUUCUGGAUUGGGCCAGUUGGAAAACUGGUCCAGGACAGAAAAAAAUCGAGCAUCUUCUUCUGGGGAACUGGAAACUCAGGCUUACAAAAGUGUCAAAGAUUUACUGAAGACGAUGAGGAUUCAUCCAGAAGCCCAGAGGAUUCUGGGUAAUUCCGCAAUUGCUGUUGUAAGUCUGGAGCGCCUGAACUUCCAGCGUGUAUCGUCCUCAUCUCUGCAGCCAGUGGUGUCUCUGGUCCGACUGCCUCUUCAAGCAGAUGUAGUUUCUCUAAACCGUCCUCAACAGGUCCGCAAGUUUGCAUAUUUUAUUUGUCUGAGACAAAGAUAAGUAUGACGGUGGAUUAGGGCCAUCGGAGAACAAAAAAAGGCAGUAGAUCUCCAUCAAAGAGCCUUGACGUUUUGAGAUUAAUCCAAGACAUUUGCUAGAAAAGACGGGCAUUUCUGAGCUUGAGAAGUUGAAAAUUUACCAGAAAAAGACUAAAUUGUUUUUAGAUUUAUCUCAGAAAAUUUCUAAAAGAAAUUGGAA